rnacentral:rRNA from 1 species
AUUGAACGCUGGCGGCAGGCCUAACACAUGCAAGUCGAGCGCGAAAGUUCUUCGGAAUGAGUAAAGCGGCGGACGGGUGAGUAAUACAUGGGAAUCUGCCUGGUAGUGGGGGACAACGUUUCGAAAGGAACGCUAAUACCGCAUACGCCCUACGGGGAGAGGGGGGGAUCUUCGGACCUCUCGCUAUCAGAUGAGCCCAU